UAAGGAAUAUUGCUCAAUGGGAGAAAUCCUGAAGCAGCAACGCCGCGUGGAGGAUGAAGGGUCUAUGACUUGUAAACUCCUGUAAAGAAGGAAAAAAUUCCCAUUUGAUGGGAGAUGAUGGUACUUCUGGAGUAAGCCCCGGCUAACUCCGUGCCAGCAGCCGCGGUAAUACGGAGGGUGCGAGCGUUAUCCGGAUUUACUGGGUUUAAAGGGUGCGUAGGUGGGCUUAUAAGUCAGUGGUGAAAUCUCCGAGCUUAACUUGGAAACUGCCGUUGAUACUAUAGGUCUUGAAUUAUCUGGAGGUAAGCGGAAUAUGUCAUGUAGCGGUGAAAUGCUUAGAUAUGACAUAGAACACCAAUUGCGAAGGCAGCUUACUACAUAUAAAUUGACGCUGAGGCACGAAAGCGUGGGGAUCAAACA
rnacentral:rRNA from 1 species